UACGUAGGGACCAAGCGUUGUUCGGAUUUACUGGGCGUAAAGGGCGCGUAGGCGGCCUGGCAAGUGACGGGUGAAAGCCCUCGGCUCAACCGAGGAACUGCCUGUCAUACUGCCGGGCUUGAGUCCGGGAGAGGUGAGUGGAAUUCCCAGUGUAGCGGUGAAAUGCGUAGAUAUUGGGAGGAACACCAGUGGCGAAGGCGGCUCACUGGACCGGAACUGACGCUGAGGCGCGAAAGCGUGGGGAGCAAACAGG
rnacentral:rRNA from 1 species